GACGUAGGGCGCGAGCGUUGUCCGGAUUAUUGGCGUAAAGAGCUCGUAGGCGGCUUGUCGCGUCGACUGUGAAAUCCCGCGGCUCAACCGCGGGUCUGCAGUCGAUACGGGCAGGCUAGAGUUCGGUAGGGGAGACUGGAAUUCCUGGUGUAGCGGUGAAAUGCGCAGAUAUCAGGAGGAACACCGAUGGCGAAGGCAGGUCUCUGGGCCGAUACUGACGCUGAGGAGCGAAAGCGUGGGGAGCGAACAGG
rnacentral:rRNA from 1 species